UACGUAGGGCGCGAGCGUUGUCCGGAAUCAUUGGGCGUAAAGAGCUCGUAGGCGGCCGGUUGCGUCUGCUGUGAAAACCCGGGGCUCAACCCCGGGCCUGCAUUCGAUACGGGCAGACUAGAGUUCGGUAGGGGAGUCUGGAAUUCCUGGUGUAGCGGUGAAAUGCGCAGAUAUCAGGAGGAACACCGGUGGCGAAGGCGGGACUCUGGGCCGAUACUGACGCUGAGGAGCGAAAGCGUGGGGAGCGAACAGG
rnacentral:rRNA from 1 species